CAGAGACGCAGCCAAACAGACACGGAACAUUGCCAGUCGCUACGAGCUCUCGUCUGAUUUGCGAGCGGGGUAGCCAGUCUGUUUUGGGAGCGUAGCCAGACUGAAUAGGGAGCGUAGCCAGUCUGAUUUGGGAGCGUAGCCAGGCAGUUUCGAGUGGCGUGACUCCCAAGCCGCGCGAAACAACAACGCGUUCCCCGCUGGGACUGUUUUUCGCCAUGUGACUAGCCUGAAAAGGUGUCUGCAAGUCAGACAGUGUGCGUACCGUCAGGUAAUUAGUCAGGGGGAUUUAGCCACAACCCUCGAACGAGCGGAACAAAACGAUCCGGUGCAAGCUUCAGGAAGUGUGAACGAGGUCCACGGAAGCUGGAAAAAACGUGCGGGGGCAUUCCCUGUUGAGACCUGGGUGUACGCUGCCGGCUUGCAAACAAAUUUGGUAGCGUAGCGGAUUCGACAAGCCGCUACAUCAAUUAUUGUCAAACGCGGUCGACCCAACUUCAGCGUAUAAAGCGUAGCAUUGGUGCCCUUCGGACCACCAUCAAGCGAGGCAUCACACGUGUAAGUACAAUGGUAAAAGACGCAGAGGUGGUUCGACACGAACCGAUGGAUCGCCGAUUCCAUAAACUUACUUAAAGAAAAAGGGACGGCCUCGCCUUGAGCAGUUUUCCACAUCUUCAAAGUGGCGCGAGUGAGACAAAAACGGCAGUCAUUUGCAGUGGAAGCUUUCCGCAGCGGGGUGGGUGCGUUAUGCGUGAGUCGAAAAAGAUGUUCAUGCACGGAAGUCACCGAAAGACGAAUCUUUUCAAACACAACACACGCCAAACCGUCAAUUGCAUAAUUGCUUACCAAAGAAUUCACGAGUGUCCAGGGCGGUCUCACGUGCGUUAAGCGGGUUGUGGAACUAUGCAAGCCGGCUAUGCGUCGAAUAUGCUGGAGGGCCUGCAGAAAUGGCCGGAUGUGUUAUUCUAGCGCAUACGCUACCCUGUGCAAUUGAACGUGGAUCCGGAAAACAAAGGCAUCUUAUCGUUUGUGGAACGUCUGGAGUUGCCUGUGCCCGGUUGAAGGUCCCUGUGAGUUCGCAUCCCCCUCUCUAUGUUUUCCAGUGGCUGUCUCAUCGAUGUGGAUUGCAACUGGUAACAGUUCAUCUGAUUUUAAAUUUGCAUUAUCCAG
rnacentral:lncRNA from 1 species